UUUAAUAUGUUUUUAUAUUUAAGUUUAUUUUUGGCUUUAUUUUAUUUUCAUACUUUAUUUUCAGCUUAAACAAUUUUUUGAUACAUUGUCAUUAUGCAGACUAUAACUUGAGCUUCGAGAAUCGGAUUGAGCUUUCUAAUAUGCAUUGGAAAGUUAAGAUAAAUAUAUAUAAGUUUUAUGUUGAAGUAAAAAGCUGAUUCAGAGUAAAGGAGGGUCUAAUAAUUCGUUGAAG
rnacentral:lncRNA from 1 species